rnacentral:lncRNA from 1 species
AAAGAGCUUGAAAUGUUGAGAACGGUUUUGAGCCGUCCGAUGGAGGGUUCUCGUUGACCGUUGACUUGAUCUUGUCGAUCUUUGACUCCGAGAAUUUGAAUAUCCUUUCCCUAAGAGUUGGAGUGGGCUUUGCAUCACCGUUGGAAGUUGGUUGGCCGUUGGGCUCCGGCAGGGAGAGGUCCAGCUUCACUCUCGUGUUCCGGGCCUUGGUCCGGUCCAGGAACGGUGGUGCUGACGUGGAGGGUGACCCAUUGCAAAUCUCGGCCCACGAUGUCAUGAAUUGCCACGUGGCAGUCCCAUCCAAUACAGCAUGGUUGAAUGCCAGGCCCAUCGCAAGCCCAUCUUUCAGCUUCGUUAACUAUGGAUAAAAUAAAAAUACUCGAAAUGAAAACAAAAAUCGAAAAAAUAUUAUAAUUAUAUUGCAUUGGGAGUAAAUGUGAUAGGUAAUGAGUGGGGUGGACUAUAAUGGCAGAACGUGGAGGUUUAAAGUGUUUCUCAGAAAAUUAACAAUAAAUUGUUCACCUACACUUGUGGAUAAUGAUGAUAUAUACUUAUUAUUUAUCAAAACAUAUUUAAUUUCAACUGUUAGAUUGAUUUUAGUUUAAUUAUGCAGUCACUCAUAUUAAUUAGAGGAUGUACAAUGGAUGGUUUCAUUAGACUCUAAGGUUUAAUUCUACUUUUAAGUAGGGUCUAUAAUGUCACAUGCCAUUUUCAAAUCAUUAUUGUAGGUCUCACAAGUGUUUUUUUUUUUUUUUUCUAAAAAAUGAAACUUUGUAAAACCCAUAUAUUUUUUAAUCUUUUCAUUUUCAGUAUUUUGUAGAAGACUUAAAUUUUGCAGAUUACAGUAAAACAAGGUUUUAAGAAAAAUGAAAGACCUAUACAACAUCUAUAGAUUACAUUUCAGAUUCAGUAAAAAUGGUAGCUUAUACUGUGAUCAAUGAAGUAUAAAGUAGAAUGAUUUGAUGAAGAAGAUAACGAAAUGAACAUGCAUGAAGGAAAUGAAUGAAAUUACCUGAACUGCGAGCAAGGGUCUAUGCAUGCCUUCCAAGUUCAAGACAGCAGUGUAAGGUAUGAGGUCCUUGAGAUUGGUGGAACUUUCAGCAACAGUAAGUUGAUCCACAGCAAUCUCAUCAGCAACAGCUUCAACAACCUCCACACCAAGCAUGUCAUCAUCAUACUCAACCCUGAACACACCCUCUUCAUCUUUCCCUAACUUUCCAGCUAGUUGGUGGAACUCCUUGAGAACCACACCAAGCCCAAGCUUCAGCUUCUGAACCAUGCCAUCAAAGUCUUCCCCUUUGUAGAACAGUAGCUUCUGGUUGUAGUAGAAGGCCAAGUAUGGAAGAUCAAAAGUCACCAACUGGUACUCUUUUCUCCCAAUCUUCUCCUCAGGUUGCACAUAACUCUUGUUGGUGAUUUUCAGGUUCAGAGAUUCUUCCUUCUUCACCACCUCACCUGCCAUUUUUUUUUUUCUUUUUCUGAGUUAGACAGAAACUUUGAAUUGAAUUUGAG